rnacentral:rRNA from 1 species
AGCUUGAUGUAAUAAAUAUUAAGUAAUGUCUGCCCGGUGAGAAAUUUAACGGCCGCAGUACUUUGACUGUGCUAAGGUAGCAAAAUAAAUAGGCUUUUAAUUAAGGUCGAGUAUGAAUGGUAACAUGGGUGGCAGCUGUCUCAUUUUGUAAAAUUUUAAUUUAAUUAGUAGGUGAAAAUGCCUACCUAAAUACAUUAGACGAGAAGACCCUUAGAGUUUUUAAAACUUUAACUAGUAAGUAUUUAUGAAUUUUUUGUUGGGGCGACACAGUAGUACUUUAACCUACUUAGAUACACAUAUUACGGGACUUUAUUGAAAACAUAUGAAUAUAACUACCUAAGGGAUAACAGCAUAAUUUUUUUUUAUUAAGAUUGUGACCUCGAUGUUGGAUUAGGAAAUAGGUGUAUUAGUCAUAUACCUUAUAAUAUUCUGUUCGAAUAAAUUUUACCU